AUGAGAUACAUCAGAGAGUUGGAGGACUGCAAACCGAAGAAGAGUGCUCCGCAUUCAGCUCCGAAUGUUGUACAACCAAGGCAGAGGUGGAUCUCUCCACCGCCGGGGUUCGCGAAGAUAAGAGUUGAUGGAGCGGUCUCGAGAGACAACCUGCAUGGCUCGUUCAGCGCAAUCUGCAGAGACUCCUAUGGCCAGUUUUUGGGUGCAUCAGCAAUCAAAAUACAGGGGGUCACGGAGCCCGCAACUCUCGAAGCACUGGCUUGCCGAGAGGCGCUAGCACUAGCUUCAGACUUGGCCCUGUCCGAUUUCAUUGUGGCAGACGACAUCAAGAAUGGUACGGGAGGGACGUAUGCUAGCAUCGUCAAAGAGAUUAGUGAAACGUCAAGAGACUUUCAUCAAUGUACCUUCAUCUUCGAAGGUAGAUCCACCAAUAUUGAGGCGCAUAGUCUCGCUAAGCACGCUUUCGGUCUGGAUCUUGGGCGCCAUUUGUGGCUUAUAAACCCACCAGACAUUCAUUGUAUCCCUAUGAACUUAUUUGAAUAA
rnacentral:rRNA from 1 species